rnacentral:misc_RNA from 1 species
UCAAACUUGGUCAUUUAGAGGAAGUAAAAGUCGUAACAAGGUCUCCGUAGGUGAACCUGCGGAGGGAUCAUUACCGACCGCGCGCCCCCGUGGCGGGUCCCCAACCCACCGCCAUCCCACCGUCGUUCGCCCCGGCGGGCAGACGUGCCCGCCGCGUGGGCCCCACAGACCCUGAUGUCGGCGUCGUCAGAGGCACGUUUUUAACGGUCAAAACUUUCAACAACGGAUCUCUUGGUUCUGGCAUCGAUGAAGAACGCAGC